UCCAGACUCCUACGGGAGGCAGCAGUGGAAUAUUGGGCAAUGGAGGCAACUCUUACCCAGCAAUGCCGCGUGAAUGAAGAAGGUCUUCGGAUUGUAAAGUUCUUUAAUUGGGGACGAAAAAAAUGACGGUACCCAAGGAAUAAGCCCUGGCUAACUACGUGCCAGCAGCCGCGGUAAUACGUAGGGGGCAAGCGUUAUCCGGAUUUACUGGGUGUAAAGGGAGCGCAGGCGGCACGGCAAGCCUGAUGUGAAAGCCCGCGGCCCAACCGCGGGACUGCAUUGGGAACUACCGGGCUGGAGUGCCGGAGAGGUAGGCGGAAUUCCUAGUGUAGCGGUGAAAUGCGUAGAUAUUAGGAGGAACACCAGUGGCGAAGGCGGCCUACUGGACGGUGACUGACGCUGAGGCUCGAAAGCGUGGGGAGCAAACAGGAUUAGAUACCCGAGUAA
rnacentral:rRNA from 1 species